GCCACCAUGGUUUAGUGGUUUGAGCACUGGACUACAACUCUGGGGUCAAGGGUUCAAAUCUCCAUUUGGCC